rnacentral:tRNA from 1 species
AAGCCCCGGCGAGUAUCACUCGCUUCUCAAGAUUUGCAAUCUUGCAUGUAUUACACCACAGGGCU